rnacentral:rRNA from 1 species
UACGUAGGGCGCAAGCGUUGUCCGGAAUUAUUGGGCGUAAAGAGCUCGUAGGCGGUCUGUCGCGUCUGUUGUGAAAACUCGAGGCUCAACCUCGGGCUUGCAGUGGAUACGGGCAGACUAGAGUGCGGUAGGGGAGACUGGAAUUCCUGGUGUAGCGGUGGAAUGCGCAGAUAUCAGGAGGAACACCGAUGGCGAAGGCAGGUCUCUGGGCAACAACUGACGCUGAGGAGCGAAAGCGUGGGGAGCGAACAGG